rnacentral:rRNA from 1 species
GUGGGGAAUCUUCCGCAAUGGACGAAAGUCUGACGGAGCGACGCCGCGUGAGUGAAGAAGGCCUUCGGGUCGUAAAGCUCUGUCAUCAGGGACGAACGGCCGGUGGAGUGGAAAGCCACCGGAUUGACGGUACCUGAGAAGGAAGCCACGGCUAACUACGUGCCAGCAGCCGCGGUAAUACGUAGGUGGCAAGCGUUGUCCGGAAUUAUUGGGCGUAAAGCGCGCGCAGGUGGGAUCUUAAGUCCAUUUUUAAAGUUCGGAGCUCAACUCCGUGAUGGGAUUGAAACUGGGAUUCUUGAGUACCGGAGAGGAAAGCGGAAUGCCCCGUGUAGCGGUGAAAUGCGUAGAUAUGGGGAGGAACACCAGUGGCGAAGGCGGCUUUCUGGACGGUGUCUGACACUGAGGCGCGAAAGCCAGGGGAGCGAACGGGAUUAGAAACCCCUGUAGUCC